GCAUAUCAAUAAGCGGAGGAAAAGAAACUAACAAGGAUUCCCCUAGUAACUGCGAGUGAAGCGGGAAAAGCUCAAAUUUAAAAUCUGGCAGCAUUUUGCUGUCCGAGUUGUAAUCUAGAGAAGUGUUUUCUGUGCUGGACCGUGUACAAGUCCCCUGGAAUGGGGCUGUCAUAGAGGGUGAGAAUCCCGUCUUUGACACGGACUCCCAGUGCUCUGUGAUACACUCUCAAAGAGUCGAGUUGUUUGGGAAUGCAGCUCAAAAUGGGUGGUGAACUCCAUCUAAAGCUAAAUAUUGGCGAGAGACCGAUAGCGAACAAGUACCGUGAGGGAAAGAUGAAAAGCACUUUGGAAAGAGAGUGAAACAGUACGUGAAAUUGCUGAAAGGGAAACGCUUAAAGUCAGUCGUGUUUGCUAGGAUUCAGCCCUUCCCCGGGUGUAUUUUCUAGUAGACAGGCCAACAUCAUUUUUGGUCAUUGGAAAAGGGUAGUAGGAAUGUGGCACUCUUUCGGGAGUGUGUUAUAGCCUGCUAUCAUAUACAGUGACUAGGAGUGAGGACUGCCAUUGUAGGAUGUUGGCGUAAUGGCUUUAAACGACCCGUCUUGAAACACGGACCAAGGAGUCUAACAUGCCUGCGAGUGUUUGGGUGUUCAAACCCAUGCGCGUAAUGAAAGUAAAAGUUUGGGAAGGCUGUCAAAGGCCUGCACCGACGCCCGGACCUGAGAUUUAUCGACGGUUCUGCGGUAGAGCAAGUAUGUUAGGACCCGAAAGAUGGUGAACUAUGCCUGAAUAGGGUGAAGCCAGAGGAAACUCUGGUGGAGGCUCGUAGCGAUUCUGACGUGCAAAUCGAUCGUCAAAUUUGGGUAUAGGGGCGAAAGACUAAUCGAACCAUCUAGUAGCUGGUUCUGCCGA
rnacentral:rRNA from 1 species